ACCGCCUUCGUGAGCCUUGGUUACCGUUAUGACGUGUUGGGAAUGAUGGCUGUUGUUGGGUUGUUGUGUGUAGCCUAGCAGGUUUAUUGACUGUCUGAAUGUGGUUUAUUGACGGUAAUAUUUCAAUGAAACCUUUUGACUCGGAUGAAGAAGAGGGAGAGCAGCCGGGAGCCAAGCAAAAAGAGCUGAGACAACGAGCAAACCAGAGCCUCCAACAGCUGAGCGGUGCUCUGAACCAGCUGGACCCUGAUGAAGAGGAUGUCCGACCCGCUGCAGGUGACGUCUUCCCUGAGGAGGACAAGACAGCAUGGAGUCACAAGACUCAGAGUGAAGCAGUUAACCAGCUGAAGAGCCUCCUGUUGAAGCAAGGCAGAGAAAUCCCCACCUCUUUAUCCCCUUCAGGGAAGCAAUCUCCAUCUAAGAAAGUGCGCCUGGAUGGCAGGUCCAGUUUACCAGCCUUUCGGGACUUGGUUCCAAUGAAUUAUGACCAGUCUGAGUACAUUCAGCACCUGGAAGCUGAAGUAAAGUUCUGCAAGGAGGAGCUGCAGGGACUGAAGCAGCGGAUCAGAGUGGUGGUGGUUGAAAAUGAGAAGCUGCAGUCUGAGCUCAAAUCCAGGAUCGCGGAUCAGUCUCUGAAAGAUUAUCCAAUCCAUAAUUCUAUGGUGCAAAACAACAACUUGAUGACCUCAAAAACGGAGCAUAACACCUGGAAAAAUGACCUGGAGCAGUUAAAAGUGAUCCACCAGGCCCAGACUGAAAGCUUGGAGGCUCAACUCAUCUCUCUCAGAAAGGAUCUCUCAGUGAGUCAGAAGGAGUGUGAGGAGGUGAAGGUUCGUCUGAGACACAAAGAGCAGCAGGUUGCAGAAGCGUUGAAGGCCGAUGGAGCUGCCCGUGUAGCCGGGUUGUGUCUGCAGUGUGCGCAGCAUGAAGCGGUGGUGGCUGGAACUCAUGCAAAUCUGCAUGUGCAGGCUAUUGAUAGGCUCACAAAGGAACGGGAUGAAUUGCUGGCAGCUCUGCGUGCGAUGCGGGCGAGUCAACAAGAGGCCCAGCAGAGAGAGUGGUCAGCCUGCCUGCAGGUCAAACAGGCUGUGGAGAUAGCCGAAGAAGCCAAUCUACAAAAAACUAGGGUGGAGAUGCAGUGUGAGCAAUUAUCCAGGGAGCUGGCGCGACAGAGGGAACAGCUGGACAGAGAGGCGCAUGCAGUGCGGGCCAAGAUGGCGGAGGCCCGAGAGGAGGGCCGGGCUGAGGCACGCAAACAAAAAGAAGAGCUAGCACAAACGGCGUCCAGCCUGUCUCAGCAGGUAGCCGAGCUGGAGGGGCAGCUGGACCGAGCUCACAGAGACAGGAGUUCACUGACCAAUCAGCUGGAAGAUACGCUCAGCAAGCUGACCAAUCAGGAACAAGACAAUGCCAAGGUAUGUAUGGAUCUGCGGUAUCAGCUUAGCAAUGCCAGCCUGAAGAAAGAGGAGGCUGAGCGAGAGCUCAGAGAGCUGAAGGCCAAGACGAGCAGGCAGAAGGAAAAAGCUGCACAGGAAGUGGAAAGUCUGAGCUCAGAGCUGGUUUGCUGUCGGCAGCGUUUGGAGGCGGCCCAAAGGGUUGGGAGCCAAUGGCAGUCCAAAGCUCUGAGCCUGGAAGAACAGCUGGCAAAUGCCCAGCGCCAACUGCACCUCACCAGCAGUAACCAGGUCUCGUGCUUUGGAUCGUGGUGUCUCCAUCGUCUGGUUGUACCAGGAGAUGCUCAGAGGAAAAGUCAACAGAAAGGCAGGAACUGCAGGGAGGGCACAGAUUUGACAUUGACGUUGAGUCCGGCGUUCUGGAUUGGGUCGGUGUGGGAGCAUAUUACAGGACAGAGAGAGUGCGGCGCGGGAUCAUGCAGAGGAAAUGGCGUCUGUGACCCUUUCAGCGCGGGAACGGGAGAAGGAGCUGGCUGUCAUGCUGCAGAAAUCGGAGGCUCAACACCUGCAGAGAGUCGGAGAGAUGGAGAAUCUCAUGGGUUCCCAGAAUUCCCUGAUCGGGAAGCUCAAAGAGGAAUGCUGCAAACUUGGGGCCAAACUGGAAGAGUUGUCUCAUCAAAGCAGGAGCGAGCUGGAACAGCUGGCUCUGGAGAGGCAGCACUCGGAGGAGACGGUGAAGAGCCUGAGAGCGCGCUGCUCGGAAAUGGAGGAGCAGUGUGUCCAGCAUGGACGCAUGCACCAGCGCAUGAAGGACAGGCUGCAGCAGUUGGACCGACACUGUCAGAGCAGCGCCCAGCAGGUGUGUGAGCUUCUGGCCAAACAGAGCCAGCUGAUGCAGGAAAGAAACGCGCUUAGUGAGGAGAUGCAGAACCUACGCAUUGAGUUACCCAAUCUGAGACGAAAUGAACCAGUGAGCACAUGAGCACAUCGGUUCUGGUUCCUCCUCUUCAGUCUUUCGUUCUGGAUGUUUUCUACUCUGUUGAACAGAAACAAAAAGGACAGUUUUUCUACUCUAUUCCCCAUUAGGAUGCGUUUUAUGUAACUUUCACUGUGAAUGAUGUGUUUAAGGUGUGAGGUAUCAAGGUGCUUAACAUUAAUAAAACCCAAAGCAACACUUUUAAAAUU